CAGCCGCCGCGGGAAUACAGAGGAUGCAAGCGUUAUUCGGAAUGAUUGGGCGUAAAGCGUCUGUAGGUGGCUUUUCAAGUCCACCGUCAAAUCCCCGGGCUCAACCCUGGACAAGCAGUGGAAACUACCAAGCUGGAGUACGGUAGGGGUAGAGGGAAUUUCCGGUGGAGCGGUGAAAUGCGUUGAGAUCGGAAAAAACACCAACGACGAAAGCACUCUGCUGGGCCGACACUGAUACUGAGAGACGAAAGCUAGGGGAGCAAAUGGGAUUAGAUACCCCAGUAGUCCCUGUCUCUUAUAC
rnacentral:rRNA from 1 species